CUCGCGGGUCGAUGAAGAACGCAUUAACUGCGCGUCAUAGUGUGAACUGCAGGACACAUUUGAACAUCGACAUUUCGAACGCACAUUGCGGUCCGUGGAGACACAUCCAGGACCACUCCUGUCUGAGGGCCGGCU
rnacentral:rRNA from 2 species